CAACAAUAAACGAUAAGAGAGAGAAAAGGACGAGAGAUCAAGCGAGUAACUCCCACUCCUUGUCCAACUUCCACACUGAGACGACGGGAGGCUGCCGCAGAGAUGUUGGCGUGGAAAGCGUGGUCGUUCUUGUUGGUGGCGGGCGUGUUGGGGACGACCACAGCGGCGGGG